rnacentral:rRNA from 1 species
UACGUAGGGUGCAAGCGUUAAUCGGAAUUACUGGGCGUAAAGCGUGCGCAGGCGGUGAUGUAAGACAGUUGUGAAAUCCCCGGUCUCAACCUGGGAACUGCAUCUGUGACUGCAUCGCUGGAGUGCGGCAGAGGGGGAUGGAAUUCCGCGUGUAGCAGUGAAAUGCGUAGAUAUGCGGAGGAACACCGAUGGCGAAGGCAAUCCCCUGGGCCUGCACUGACGCUCAUGCACGAAAGCGUGGGGAGCAAACAGG